AAUACCUGUAUAAUUAUAAAUUACACAGUUACCGCAGAGUUGAAGACUUGAGGUUAUGAUUUAUGAUAUAAAAAAAAAAAAAAACAACGGAGGGUUUUUUGUGUGAUUUCUUUACGUUUAAUCGCAAGUAACUAAGUACCUAUCGGUUUCGAGUUGAGGAUUUUAAAGAGUUUUUUAUACGUAUACAUAGAGAAUAUACGCGAUAUUGUCACAAACAACUGUCAUGCAGACAGUAAGUGGUAUGAAUGUAUUGAACUUUGGAAAUUUGCAAUAUAAAAUAGCAACAACAAUGACGUAUAAAAUAAAUGUAUAAUUGUAUGAUGUACACCAGAGGCGGCCAAACGAUCGGCAGUGGACAAUUUUAAAGUCGAUCAUAUAAAAAUAUAUUAUUAGUCAAUAUCAUUGAACCAGAAUACCGAGCUACAUUUUCCGAUGACCAUUUAGAGUAGUGUCUUAGUUUUGCAAUUACCUCUCUGCCAGAAUAUGGCGUGAUUGAAGUAAUGUCCGAUCGAUCGAGCGUCCAUAACGGCGAUCAGUAACAGGUAGAGGCCCAU